GGAAGUGUGGCCGAGCGGUUGAAGGCACCGGUCUUGGAAAACCGGCGACCCGAAAGGGUUCCAGAGUUCGAAUCUCUGCGCUUCCGCCA
rnacentral:tRNA from 1 species